rfam:Ixodes scapularis strain Wikel colony gcontig_1107728729354, whole genome shotgun sequence.
CCCUGGUUAGCUCAGUUGGUAGAGCGCUCCACUGAAAGUGGAGAGGUCCCGGGUUCGAUAACCGGACCAGGUG